AUCAUAAUUAUCAGGUCUCCUGGCUGACGGUACCACUGUUCUGUCACCACACUUUAACGUUUUGCCAAGAAGUUUUGCCUCCUUCAUGUUCCCGAUUUUGUACAUGCAAUCAGUUGGCAAACCUGUCGAUUCUCACUCUAGAGGUUUUUUUUGGCCUCCAUUUCUCCUCCUGGCUCUUUCCCCCAUUGGUGAUGUCUGUGUUGUGUAUCAUUGUUCUGAGAAUUUAUACUUCCCUUCACUCUCACAGCUUGCAUGUCCUAACUAUAGCUAGUGCACAUCACCCCAAACCCCAGAAACAAAUUUAACGAUCUUCCUUAGCAGAGGUUUUCCAACAGGCACGACUGAGGGUCACGUCCCCUUGUGUUGUCCUUGUGUUGUUGACAGGACAGUUAAAUUACAAACUUGUCCCUUAUUCUUUAGCCACCUAGGUUGUCUUGUAUCUUCAACUAUUCUUUUCCCAAAAUUCCCUGCUCCCAACUUUCUUCUCCCAACUCUCUUGCACAAUCCACUUCUCACAUCUAAGUCUUCAAAGACAAUGACAAACAAUCACGGC
rnacentral:lncRNA from 1 species